rnacentral:rRNA from 1 species
CUGACCGAUAGUGAACCAGUACCGUGAGGGAAAGGCGAAAAGAACCCCGGCGAGGGGAGUGAAAAAGAACCUGAAACCGUGUACGUACAAGCAGUGGGAGCACAGGUUUACCUGUGUGACUGCGUACCUUUUGUAUAAUGGGUCAGCGACUUAUAUUCUGUAGCAAGGUUAACCGUAUAGGGGAGCCGAAGGGAAACCGAGUCUUAACCGGGCGUUAAGUUGCAGGGUAUAGACCCGAAACCCGGUGAUCUAGCCAUGGGCAGGUUGAAGGUUGGGUAACACUAACUGGAGGACCGAACCGACUAAUGUUGAAAAAUUAGCGGAUGACCUGUGGCUGGGGGUGAAAGGCCAAUCAAACCGGGAGAUAGCUGGUUCUCCCCGAAAGCUAUUUAGGUAGCGCCUCGUGAAUUCAUCUCCGGGGGUAGAGCACUGUUUCGGCUAGGGGGCCAUCCCGGCUUACCAACCCGAUGCAAACUGCGAAUACCGGAGAAUGUUAUCACGGGAGACACACGGCGGGUGCUAACGUCCGUCGUGAAGAGGGAAACAACCCAGACCGC